rnacentral:rRNA from 1 species
ACACGACUACAUUAGAUACCCCUGUAGUCCAGGGUGUAAACGCUGCGAGCUUGGUGUUGGGGGUCCGUUUGAGGGCGCCCAGUGCCGGAGAGAAGUUGUUAAGCCUGCUGCUUGGGAGUACGUCCGCAAGGAUGAAACUUAAUGGAAUUGGCGGGGGAGCACCGCAACGGGAGGAGCGUGCGGUUCAAUUGGAUUCAACGCCGGACAACACACCAGGAGCGACGGUUACAUGAAGGCCAGGCUGAUGACCUUGCCUGAUUUUCCG